rnacentral:rRNA from 1 species
UACAGAGGGUGCGAGCGUUAAUCGGAAUUACUGGGCGUAAAGCGUGCGUAGACGGUAAUGUAAGUCAGAUGUGAAAGCCCGAGGCUUAACCUCGGAAUUGCACCUAAAACUACUUGGCUAGAGUACUGGAGAGGGAAACGGAAUUCACGGUGUAGCAGUGAAAUGCGUAGAUAUCGUGAGGAACACCAGAGGCGAAGGCGGUUUCCUGGACAGUUACUGACGCUCAGGCACGAAAGCGUGGGGAGCAAAAGGG